GAUGGUCCAAUGAAUUUUGCUAGGGAAUUUGAAAGGAUUGUUCAUUGGGUAUUAGGACUUUCAACUAAUUUCGAUUGGCAAUUCUGAAUUUCUUAAUUUAACUUGUCUUGUACUGACUCAUCGGUCUGUGGUCAGCCUUAAUGACAUACAGUGAACAAAAAAAAUAUUUGAACGUGUAAAUUUCCUAGAAUAAUCGAUUACACACAAAGGCAGGGUAAAUGAAAUAAAUACUAAAAAAUUCAUCUAUCUUUCUGGACACGUAUUCAAUAAAAUAAAUUUAAUAUCAUUUCAAAGAAUUUCUUUUGUAAAAUUUGAAAUAUGCAAAAAAUGUAAUUGAACAAGUUUACUUUUUUCUCUGGUAAGGGUGGUCAGCAACAUCUGAUGAAGGACAAAGCUCUGUUUCUGUGUGGAGUGAAUUCUGAUACAUUUGAUGUCAAAAUAGCGAUAUGGUUUCUAAAAAAUCUGAAUUGUCCCAAACAGUAAGAGAAGAUAUUGUUACGUUACGAGCACAAGGAAAAUCUUAUCGUGAGAUUGCACGAAAGUUGAAAAUAAAUCUUUCAAGUGUAUGCUAUGUUGUUAAAAAGAAACUGGAUCUUCACAGAAUAAACAGUAUUCAGGGCAUCCAAAGAUCCUGGAUUCCAGACAGAUGAGACAAUUGUUGAGGGAUGUUGCAAAAAACCCCUUCAUUUCUAGCAGAAUAU
rnacentral:lncRNA from 1 species